CAACCUCCGGUUGGGUCACUUAUUUAACCUGAAAGUGCAAACACGUCUGGAAAGAUUUAUAUCCUGUUUCCUGGGACCAGAUAAGGAAACUUUCCUGUAAGGAAUGUGUGGGUUUCACAUCCAGGGUUGUCUUGAUUGCUACAGUCCCCCCUUCGUCACGGUGGUCCUGUCCAUGGAGCAUCGGGACGACGAGUAGACAACCAUGAAGCAGCAGCAGGUGUAUGCAAAUAGGACUGAUGCGUCUCGUCAUCACUAUGUGAAUCACUAGUACUGCUUUGAGAUAAAAUUAAGCAUGCAUUAAGCUAUCAAAUAAAAUAGUCUUGUUGUUAGACUUUUCUCAGUUAACUAUUGGUAGACUAAUGUGAAAGAAAAUCUCCUAAUUUUCAGUAUUAAUGAGAUUUAGGAAAGCACUAUUUAGUCUGAAUGCUAACUGGAUCUAAAGAUAUAGCUGUUUUCCAUGCUUGCUGGAGAAGUCUGAAAGUUCAAUUUCAGUUUCAAAAAUGGUUAAGACUUAGGUGGAAAAGAAAUGUCUGCUAUAGACAUAUUAACCAUCUGUGUAUGAGCAUAGUCAACCUGAAUCAAAAACAUCAAAAGUUUACUGCACAGAGUUUCUCUUAAACUUUGUCUGUUAAACUUGGGGAUGAUGCUCUUACCGGUUUGACUAAUUAUCUGCUGUUGAGUCUGAAAUUUGUCAAUCUGAGUCUUAAUGACAGAAAUUUCAGCUUUUAAUCUGUUGAUGAGAUAUUCGACAGCUGACAAGCUGACCAUAUUGACAGAGGAGAGACAAAUGCUAACAAAGAAAGCAGCAACUGGGGUUGCAGUCAUCAAUGUAUCACCACAGCAUUUGGAUAUCUUAUUGGAGUCAUUUAGCUUUGGCUGGGUGACUUCUGCUUUCGCAGGACUCACACCUUCAUGACUCCGCAGUGUUAAUCUCAGUGGUUAGCUGAGUAGUCAUGUUUAUUCACCUUCAAAGUGGAUGAAACCGAUUGAGGUGGAUAAUAAGAUCGUCGUUUCUGAGAGUGUGAUUUACUCUGAUUCUGCCAGUCAUUCACCCCCUUUGGCGGUGUUGAUGGUUUUUCCUUUGUCUGGGAUAAAACCCACCAUGACUGGAGUCUGAAUAACAACAGUUGGUCUCAAAGUUUACCUGGCAUUGGUCUGUGUCAGACCUGGGCCUUGGUGUGUAACUUUGACCUUUGUGAGUUUGUUGAGGUCGAAAAGGUUUUGGAGGCCUGGUUAACCACUCAUUUGGAGGCUUAUCGGAGCCUGAAAAUACACAAUCUGAAGCUUCGUUCAGCUCCAUGGGCAGUGAUUUUGUCUCCAUAGCCAACAGAGUAACAGGCUCUGCUUUCUUAGCCAAAGUUUGUCGUUGUUUGGCAAAACCUUUUACAGCAAGUUCACGAAGCUGUCGGCUAGUCAAAGUGUUUGGACAAGCUAAGACGCCAAGGUGAUGACUGGUGGUAGGGUGGAGGUUCUGGACGAACAGCGUUUUGAAGUUCAAGUCCUCCUCCAUUUCUGGUUCAUUUCGGAAACCAAAGUAAGCUUCGCGUAAGCGGUUGUAAUAAUGUUGGGGAGGUUCUGAUCUCCCUUGUUUAAUAGACAGAGCAGCAGAAAGGCCUGUCUGGGUCAAAUGAUCAGAAAACUCUUCAAUUAAUGCUUGGCAGAGCAAGUCAUAAUUAUUUCUGACAUGAUAAGGCUGUCGUUCAAGGAAACUGCUAACCUCUCGACUUGACGUUGCCUUAAUAAGGUAGAUCUUGUCAUCAAUGGUUGCACCUGGAAAUUUCCUCAGGUAAAAGUCAAUGUCUUUCAAGUAGGUGCAGGUGUCAGUAGCACCUUGGUGCUCAGGUUCAAAGCGUGCUAUGUUGCGAGCAAUUUUGUCAAGAUCCCUAUCUGAGGGAGAUGGUAAGAAGCCAUCAUGAGGAGGAGAGUAGGACUGUUGGUUUAAGGAUGACCUCUCAGGGUCAAGCAGGGUCCUGUCAUGAUGCUGAGAGAGAUACUUAAGAGUUGGUUUGGAAGGAAGUGAUGGCGCUCUCUCAGGAGGCUGAUCACCUAUCAUUUCUUCAAGAAACGUUUGCUCCAUGCGUUCUCUUUGGGCUCGACCUGACUGGAGGGAGCAUUGUAACUCUCUUUGGGCAUCUUCAAGUCCUUUGUCUGUCUUUUCUUGCCGUUCUUGACAAAGAAUUAACUGUCUUUGAGCUAUCUGGAGCUGGUGCUGUAAGGUAGAAGUUUGCUUCUCCUUAACUUCAAGAGCUUCAGCACGCACUUUGACCAGUGCUUUCAAAGCUUUUACAUCUUCUGUUGCUUGCUCUAGCAGGGAUUCUGACUGUAUCAGAUCCUCUGUGGUCUUAGCAAGAUGCUUAUUGGCUUUGUCAAGUUCUUUCUCUUUUUGGUUAAGAGUUUUAUCAAGUCUUUCAAUCUUGUCUUUGAGAUCAAGAUUUUCUUCAUGACUUAUCAGUGAGGGAAGCUUUGACGCUUCACAUCUGGCACUGUGUUUUUCUAAAACAUUUAGAGACUUCUUAGUCUCUUCUAGCGUCUUUUUCAGAGCGCUGUUUUCUUCUUUUUGCGUCUUUAUCUUUGUUAAAGCGCAUUCCAGCAAGUAGUCUUUAUACUCAAGCUGAGAAGACAUCACGACAGACAUGCGUCUAGUGAGCUCUUUGUCACGAAGUGUCGUGGUUAAGGCUGUUUCCAGUAGGUCAGCCAUUUCAUCCUCCGGAUUGGAGGGUUUGGCCUUUUGAAUCUUAGUCAUGUACUGAGGUAUCAGCUGACCAGUCAAGUUUGCCAACACUGUGUGUAUGUCCCUCAGGGGGUCUCCCUGGCUGGACUCUUUUGUGUUAGGCAUGUUUGGUUUUGGUAAAGAGGUGCAGGUGGUUGGUUGAUGAGUUUGAGUUGACUUAAAAUGAAAGGAAGAAGCAAAAUAUCAAAUUAAGUGGGUUAAUCGACUUAAUUUAUCAGUGCUUGAUAAAGAGGAAGAGCCUAUCUGAGUAGAUCUCUAAUGGAGAGAAAAAUAACAUAAAGUUAAAUUCAUUUCAAUCAAAAUUGAAAAACAAUGAAAUGAUGUUAAAUUAAAUUUAACAUCAGAUACAGAACCAUUGAAUAAAGGGUUCAGUUUGUCUCCGUGUUGCAGAGAUCAGCAAAGCUUAAAUAAACUGCCUGGUGCAGUUGGAUGAAUUGGGAAAAAUCGAUGAAAUUGUCAAUUUAAGGAAUUAACUCUGAAAUUAAUUCACCAAUCGCAAUAAAGCUAAAGAUUCAACUACCCAAUUCAUCUGAAAUGGUAAAAUAAAUUUCAAAUAUUAAUUAAUUUGUUCAUUAAUUAAUUAAUCUUAUGAGGAGGGUUAAUACAUUCAUGUAUUAUAGGGAACAGUAAAACUGCUCACUGGUGUGAUAAGUAACAACAAGAUCAGGUGAUCGAUUCAAUGAGUUACUUUAUCAAUACAUCAUGGAGGCUCUUAUAACAAAGAUAAAAAUCAAAAUCAAUGAUCAAUGAUUUAGAAUAAGCACAUCAAACUUCAUCAACCAAGUCAAUCACUUGAAUUAUGUCUGUAGAGUGUUACACACUGACUACAGGGAGGCAGUACAGCUGGCUGAUACUGCAGGCAGAUAACAUUGUUAGCUCAAUACCAAAAGCAACCAUGUGGGGCAGUAUGGAGUUGGGGUAACUGCACAAGCUCAACACAAGUGGAGAAGAAGAAGAAAAGAGGAAACAGUCAUCCAACUAGCCUCUUGUGGCUAUGAGGAGUUGGGAAGUAUGCAGGAAGGGGCCUUUAGGCUCUGCCUCCUGAAGGGCCUUAUCUGCUUAAGGCCAAAUGGUCAGUCUCUCCACUGACAACAAAGGGUUAACAUUUCACAGCAGGCUGCAUCUGCACCCUCAAACAUAGAACUCUACACCAUCUGCUCAGGAAGAUUGGUUCAAUAAAAUCAUUUACAGGAACAAGAAUCAAAGUGACAAAUCCCUCAACAGCAGAUUCAACUGCAGACUUUAAAAUCACAAAUGCGGCGAUUCGUGAUCACGGAUUUUGUCUGAAUUCAUUCAAACAACAACCUCCCACUGUUACAGUGGUUUCCUGUGACAGAUAGCUUAUCUGUCAGGGGAAAGGAGGAAAUCUAAAUCCCAUAUAGUUACUAGAACUUCAUAGCAGACUAUAGAGACAACAAUCAAAGUGACAAAUCCCUCAACAGCAGAUUCAACUGCAGACUUUUUAAAAAAUCACAAAUGCGGCGAUUUGUGAACACAAAUUUUGUCUGAAUUCAAUCAAACAACAACCUCCCACUGUUACAGUGGUUUCCUGUGACAGGUAGCUAAUCUGUCAGGGGAAAGGAGGAAAUCUGAAUCCCAUAUAGUUACUAGAACCUCAUAGCAGACUACAGAGACUUCAGGGGCUUGAAACCACAGCUCGGAGCAUCGCGAACACUGGGUUCAGCCAAAGGCCUUAAAUACAAGCGUACGGCGACGCAACAAUCGUGCACUUAAAUAUUGGACAGUCUAGACAGAGCAGAGGAGUCAGUCUCACUGCUACUCAGAACAACAUUUCACGCUGUCCAGCUCAAACACAGACUACAGGCAUGUAGUACAAGAGUGUGUGAAACACAGAGCAUAAAGGUUUUAUGCAUAGAUCAGGAAAACAUCAGAACUUCGUCAAGCAACUUCAGCAAGCAUAGCAUUGAUUGUGAUUAAGUCUAAAAUAGCCUGGAAAUAAGUUUCUCUCAUCAAUUUGGAAGGCUAAGUUUUAGGUUGUCUGUUAGUAUCCAGAAGUUUUGUUUGAAACGCCUCACGCAGGGGCUCCAAAAUAUAUGUAGUGAUUUGAAAUGAGCCUCAUACGGUCGCACCAAAAUAUAUGUAGCGAUUUGAAAUGAGCCUCACAAGGCCGCACCAAAAUAAUACUUGGCGAUUGGAAUUUAUAAUAAAUGUCUGAAGAUUAAUAAUCUCAAAUUAUGACAUUUAUGCACUCGUUGAAAGGGGCACCACCCACCCUUAAUGGUGGGAAAAUAAAGAAAACAAAAGUUUAAUUCAGAAAUCAAACAUCAAGUCAGUUUUAAUUAAUCAGUCUUAAUUAAUCAGUCUUAAUUAAUCAGUCUCAUAUCUUAAGUCGAAAUUCUAAUUUCAGGGACUCCACUUCUGGAAGAACACUAACAGACCAGAACUUAGAAAAAUAAUUAUCUGUUUAUUACAGGAUAAAUGAUGGUACAACACACAUGCAAUAAAUGAUGAUAAGAUAAUGAAGAUAAAUAAUAAUAGGUGAAUAAAUCAAGAUUCUGAGUCAGGCUAGGAGCACUAAAGUUAAUGAUAGUGAGUGAAUAUGCGCUAACAUAUUAACCUACACUAACUUUAGUGUCGAGAUAAACUCGGAUGUGGAUUUGGAGGAAUCUAAGAUUACCAGAAUAAGAGGAUAUCUGAGUUGAACGCAGGAGACAGCACCAGCCCUCUUUAGAGCUCUGGAGGUUUGCAUACUUAAGUGAGACUGGUCCUUGGAGAAGAUGGAGCAGGUUCCGAAGGUCCGGGCUACUGGCGGUUCGAGCGGUUCAGCUCAGAAGACGACUGAAGUCAGCCGAAGGAUGAGCCAGGAGUUGCAGCACUCAGGCCCGAAGCAAAAACCAGCGCCUGUGGAUCCUGUGGAUGCUCGUUUGGGUACUUCUUUAGUCUCACUCAAAAACUCUGGCACAGAGGAUGACCUGGGCCUGUUGGAUUGCGUUCGGAGGUGACUUUGAAAUCACGCAGAAAACUCAGAAAAACGAGGCUCGAAGAGCAGAGAAAACUUUCAAAAAUGGCUUCGCGUAAUUAAAGAAAAUCAAUCAAAGGCUUAAUCUUGAAUUGCUAUGUGCACAAAAAGUUGAAGUUUCAAAACUUGAACUAAGACGAUGUUAAAGAAAAAUCAACGUGAAUCAACACGUGGCGUAAAACUUAGAAGACUAAGAAAAAGUUCUAAGAGAAAAUAAAGAAACGCACCACAGAAGGGUGUGGGCAGAAGAGAAGGGGCAUAAGAGCCGGGGACAAGAGAGUCAGCAGAAGAGCAGAAGUAUAAGAGAGAUAAGAGAGUGAGCAACCCCACUCCACUGGUUUUAUCUUCUCACACUGGGAGUGUCUGAGGAGAAAGAGGAGGGGGUCAUCGGGUCUCUGAUUAUUUGAUCUAACUUAUUCUUUUGGCUGGUAAAAGAGUCAGAUCUGAUACUCACUCACUAUGAUUAAUAUCAUUGAAUGCUUGGUUUCAUGAUAAAUAAUUUGAUACUAAACACAUAUGAAUGAAGUGUAGGAUCACAUCAAACAUUCUCAUUAUGUUUUAAGUAUCACAUUGAACAUGCUAAAUUACUCUGAAAUGAAACAGAUAGUAACACAUGAAAACUGUGAACAACAAAAGAGUAAACACAUGUGAAUGAACGUCAUCGUGAUUAAUAAUGGAUUCUAAAUACUCACAUUCAGAUUAUUCAGUGACAUUAUAACCACCUAAUGGUUAAGAUACUAAAUAAAUAACUAAAAUAUAAACCAAACAUUUCUAAACUAUUUCUGUUACUUAGAGUAAACUUAGGAUUCAUAGUCAAUAAAUUUAACUCUUAAAAGUUCAUGAAACAGUCUGAAAAGCUGUUGGUCUAAAGAACUAAAGAAUAAGGAUUUAUUCUGUCAGAUAAGAUAACUUGGCUUCUGAAGCACAUAGAAAAACGGGAAACAUCUCAUUUUAACACAAAUUUCAUGAUUAGACAGAUUAGUACAUUGCUGAAUGCAUAAGAUGUCAUGAUCAGUCAUUUGUAUUCUUUCACCAAAGGAAUGCAGUCUUUAUCAGUGUAUGGUCGAGCAGGGUUUUACGACCGAGGUCUGGAGGUCAGUGUCCCCCCUUAUCCUGGGGUCCGUAUGUUCACACACUUUAAGACGCUAAAUCUCAAAUGGGAGAUCUGGGUUGAGACGUUAAUGUUUAUUUAGAUGGUCAGUAAUGGAGUCAGUUUGAAAGGUAAUAAAAACUCUGUCUCUGUUCGCCGAACUGACCAAUCCUGAAGAGUCAGAGGUUUAGUCAACCUCCGGUUGGGUCACUUAUUUAACCUGAAAGUGCAAACACGUCUGGAAAGAUUUAUAUCCUGUUUCCUGGGACCAGAUAAGGAAACUUUCCUGUAAGGAAUGUGUGGGUUUCACAUCCAGGGUUGUCUUGAUUGCUACAGUCCCCCCUUCGUCACGGUGGUCCUGUCCAUGGAGCAUCGGGACGACGAGUAGACAACCAUGAAGCAGCAGCAGGUGUAUGCAAAUAGGACUGAUGCGUCUCGUCAUCACUAUGUGAAUCACUAGUACUGCUUUGAGAUAAAA
rnacentral:lncRNA from 1 species